CGGGUGAGUAACGCGUAGAAAUCUGCCUGGUAGUGGGGGAUAGCCCAGAGAAAUUUGGAUUAAUACCGCAUACGCCCUACGGGGGAAAGCAGGGGACCUUCGGGCCUUGCGCUAUCAGAUGAGUCUGCGUCGGAUUAGCUUGUUGGUGAGGUAAUGGCCCACCAAGGCGACGAUCCGUAGCUGGUCUGAGAGGAUGAUCAGCCACACUGGGACUGAGACACGGCCCAG
rnacentral:rRNA from 1 species